ACUUCGGUCCCGAGUAGAGUGGCGCACGGGUGAGUAACGCGUAAGUGAUCUACCCCUGUAUUUGGGAUAACUGUGGGAAACUGCAGCUAAUACCGGAUACGUUCAUGUUCUUGCGAGUAUAUGAAGAAAGAUGGCCUCUGAUUCAAGCUAUUGUACAGGGAGGAGCUUGCGUACCAUUAGCUAGUUGGUAGGGUAAUGGCCUACCAAGGCAACGAUGGUUAGCGGGUCUGAGAGGAUGAUCCGCCACACUGGAACUGAAACACGGACCAGACUCCUACGGGAGGCAGCAGUGAGGAAUAUUGCGCAAUGGGGGAAACCCUGACGCAGCGACGCCGCGUGGAUGAUGAAGGCCUUCGGGUCGUAAAAUCCUGUCAGAUGGGAAGAAGUGUGUGGUGGUUAAUACCCGCCACAUUUGACGGUACCAUCAGAGGAAGCACCGGCUAACUCCGUGCCAGCAGCCGCGGUAAUACGGAGGGUGCAAGCGUUGUUCGGAAUUACUGGGCGUAAAGCGCGCGUAGGCGGCUUGUUAAGUCAGAUGUGAAAGCCCACGGCUCAACCGUGGACGUGCAUUUGAAACUGGCAGGCUUGAGUAUUGGAGGGGGUGGUGGAAUUCCCGGUGUAGAGGUGAAAUUCGUAGAUAUCGGGAGGAAUACCGGUGGCGAAGGCGACCACCUGGCCAAAUACUGACGCUGAGGUGCGAAAGCGUGGGGAGCAAACAGGAUUAGAUACCCUGGUAGUCCACGCCGUANACGAUGAGAACUAGGUGUUGGGACGGUUGAUCGUCUCAUNGCCGCAGCUAACGCAUUAAGUUCUCCG
rnacentral:rRNA from 1 species